AGAGUUUGAUCCUGGCUCAGGACGAACGCUGGCGGCGUGCUUAAUACAUGCAAGUCGAACGGAGUUAAGGGUUUCGGCCUUUAACUUAGUGGCGAACGGGUGAGUAACGCGUGAAUAACCUGACUCAAAGAGGGGGAUAACAACGGGAAACUGUUGCUAAUACCGCAUGAGACCACAACACCGCAUGAUGAAGGGGUCAAAGAUUUAUCGCUUUGAGAGGGGUUCGCGUCCCAUUAGGUAGUUGGAGGGGUAACGGCCCACCAAGCCAACGAUGGGUAGCCGAGCUGAGAGGCUGAUCGGCCACACUGGAACUGAGACACGGUCCAGACUCCUACGGGAGGCAGCAGUGGGGAAUUUUGGACAAUGGGGGCAACCCUGAUCCAGCCAUGCCGCGUGCGGGAAGAAGGCCUUCGGGUUGUAAACCGCUUUUGUCAGGGACGAAAAGCUCCGGAGUAAUAUGCCGGAGUGCUGACGGUACCUGAAGAAUAAGCACCGGCUAACUACGUGCCAGCAGCCGCGGUAAUACGUAGGGUGCGAGCGUUAAUCGGAAUUACUGGGCGUAAAGCGUGCGCAGGCGGUUGGGUAAGACAGAUGUGAAAUCCCCGGGCUUAACCUGGGAACUGCAUUUGUGACUGUCCGACUGGAGUACGUCAGAGGGGGGUGGAAUUCCACGUGUAGCAGUGAAAUGCGUAGAUAUGUGGAAGAACACCGAUGGCGAAGGCAGCCCCCUGGGGCGCAACUGACGCUCAUGCACGAAAGCGUGGGGAGCAAACAGGAUUAGAUACCCUGGUAGUCCACGCCCUAAACGAUGUCUGCUGGUUGUUGGGAAUUUAAUUCUCAGUAACGAAGCCAACGCGUGAAGCAGACCGCCUGGGGAGUACGGUCGCAAGAUUAAAACUCAAAGGAAUUGACGGGGACCCG
rnacentral:rRNA from 1 species